ensembl:lncRNA
GUUGUAUUUAGUGUUGUGUUCAGUGUUGUGUUUGGUUUUGUGAUGUUUCUGGUAGUGUGUUUGGUGUUGUGUUUGGUGUUGUAGUGGUGACUUUGGUGUUGUGUUUGGUGUUGUAGUGGUGACUUCGGUGUUGUGUUUGGUGUUGUAGUGGUGAUUUUGGUGUUGUGUUUGGUGUUGUAGUGGUGAUUUUGGUGUUGUGUUUGGUGUUGUAGUGGUGAUUUUGGUGUUUGGUGUUGUGGUGAUGUUUUUGGUGUUGUGUUUGGUGUUGUAGUGGUGAUUUUGGUGUUUGGUUUUGUAGUGGUGAUUUUGGUGUUGUGUUUGGUGUUGUGGUGGUGAUUUUGGUGUUGUGUUUGGUGUUGUAGUGGUGAUUUUGGUGUUGUGUUUGGUGUUGUAGUGGUGAUUUGGUGUGUGUUUGGUGUUGUAGUGGUGAUUUUGGUGUUGUGUUUGGUGUUGUGGUGGUGAUUUUGGUGUUGUGUUUGGUGUUGUGGUGAUGUUUUUGUGUUGUAUUUGGUUUUUGUAGUGGUGUUUUUUGUGUUGUAUUCGGUUUUUGUAGUGGUGAUUUUGGUGUUGUGUUUGGUGUUGUAGUGGUGAUUUUGGUGUUGUGUUUGGUGUUGUAGUGGUGAUUUUGGUGUUGUGUUUGGUGUUGUAGUGAUGUUUUUGGUGUUGUGUUUGGUGUUGUGGUGGUGAUUUUGGUGUUGUGUUUGGUUUUUGUAGUGGUCAUAUUGGUGUUGUGUUUGGUCUUGUGAGUCUCUUGUCUGGGUUAUAUAUUUAUCUUUUGUGGGUUUUUUUCUUUUCCCCCUCAGGUAUUUGAGUUUGUAUAAAAGACCAAACCCAAAACAACACAGAUACAAUUGUCUUUGUUGUCAUAGAGAAUAAAGUUAUCGGCUGUAACGCAGCAGCUGCACUCCCGUAUUUCACUCUGUAAUCUACUGCAACGGCUCACCGCCACUUCUGUCAAUAACUCCAACACGGAAAAGACCAGAGCUUCAAACACGUUUCUGCGCACGCAGCGCCGUCCUGCUGUAAAACAAAGACAACUUCCUGUAACCAUUCCAACCCUUUUCUUUAUUAAA